UGGGGAAUAUUGGGCAAUGGGCGCAAGCCUGACCCAGCCACGCCGCGUGAGCGAUGAAGGCCUUCGGGUUGUAAAGCUCUGUGGGGAGGGGCGAAAGGCAGAAGUGCUAAUAGUACUCUGUUUGACGGUACCUCCUUAGCAAGCACCGGCUAACUCUGUGCCAGCAGCCGCGGUAAGACAGAGGGUGCAAACGUUGCUCGGAAUUACUGGGCGUAAAGCGCGUGUAGGCGGGAAGAUAAGUCGGGUGUGAAAUCCCUGGGCUCAACCUAGGAACUGCAUCCGAAACUGCCUUUCUGGAGUGAUGGAGAGGAGAGCGGAAUUCCCGGUGUAGAGGUGAAAUUCGUAGAUAUCGGGAGGAACACCAGUGGCGAAGGCGGCUCUCUGGCCAUCAACUGACGCUGAGACGCGAAAGCGUGGGGAGCAAACAG
rnacentral:rRNA from 1 species